GUAAUAAUACAAAGUUUAAACUUAUCAAUUUGUGUACUAAACACAUGUAUUAGUGAGUCAAUUUAUAGUAGUACUACUACUAUUAGUUCUGCACUUACUAGUACUUGUACCAAGACAACGUACGUGUUUGCUCACUCUCUGAACCUGGAGACACAGCGAGCUAGCACUUGCCAACACAAUGACACACACAUUUCUUAUUCAACUCCUCUGCUCCCUACCUCCAUAUCUAGGUCGCCCUCAGCAAUAGUUCCCCCAACAAGUGGGGAUUGCUGUCUACUGCUUUAUCUAAAUCUUGUUGAUGUCAUUCCCUCUUUUUUUAUUUUGAUAACUUAACAUUCUAAUUUCCCUGAUUAUGAUCUAUGUUUUUUAGGAUGCAAGUCUUGGUGGCACUGCUGCAUGGCGCAAAAUAGAGCUUGAGAGGGCGGGCGGCCACGAUGGCCGUGAUGGAGCUGCUCCGUGAUCAACCAGGGGUAUGAUUGGGUAGUGGUCUACAAAGUGCUACCCAUCAUAAUCCACGCCAGGACAUGAUAGUUGCCAUCAGGAGAGUCGACGAAGAACCUCAACAGCAGCUUCAAAAGUUUAUAUGUUUUGUUGGUGUAAACUGGAUUGUACUGCUUGUUAACCUUGUUGUGUGAUAUAUUUAGUGUUGUAAAUUAUCAUUACAUGGAAGGAUUUGUAAACUGCUAUGUUGUAUAUACACACAGGAUUUUUUUGAGAAAAAUAUAUACAUACA